GCCCCUAUAGCUCAGGGGAUAGAGUGUCGCCCUCCGGAGGCGAAAGCGCAGGUUCGAAUCCUGCUAGGGGCG
rnacentral:tRNA from 1 species